AUUAGUUUUUUGGUUUAAUUUUUUCCAGUUGAAAGCAGAGUUAGGACGUAUUUUGGAGAAGAGUGAUGUUGUGCAAGACAUGAAGGAAUGAUGGAAAUUGCACAAAUAUAAAAUGCUGUCUGCUAUUAAAAAGACAAAGCAAAAGAAUGUCAGCAGUGUCCUUGAAGAGCUGGAGGAUUGUCCAGUUGAAGAUGAGAAAGAGGUCAAGAACCGGUGUAUAAUGGCAUGUUUGCCUUAUGUGUUAGAUGACCAAUGCACCCAUCGAGAUAUGAACAAAAAGCUUUUUUGGGACAUUGUUGAUGUAAGAGUUGAUAUUGUCACAAAUAAUAUUUUCUGCAUAAAUGUGUAAAAAAAUUGAUAAAUAAUUUUAUCUCUGUUGAAGGGUAAAAGCUUUGGGGAAGUUCAAGCGAUCAUUAACAAAAGUUUGUCUCCUAGACUCCUAUCAACAGGAACAUUAAGAAACAUUCAUUCAAUAAUGUUGGUGGCCGAAGGGAUGAUUGUGGCCAAGCUGAAAACGGAAAAUAUUGUCAACGCAGUUAUUAUUUUACUUAGUUCUUUUUAUACUUUUAAUGCUUAGUAUCCUAAAGGCAUUAAUAGACAUUGCAAAAAUGUAUUUAUUCUUUUAGAACAUUUGCUUUUAAAUUCAAAUGGCAAUUGCAAGGCUCAAUUGCCAACUUUUGUCGAUCAUUUUAUUUCUUCUAUGAAGUAGAAAACUUUUGUAGUGUUAAUUAAUUGCAUGUACUAGAGAUUUUAAGUAUUCUGUGUUUCCAAAAGUGCUAUUUAUAA